rnacentral:rRNA from 1 species
UACGUAGGGUGCAAGCGUUGUCCGGAAUUAUUGGGCGUAAAGAGCUCGUAGGCGGUUUGUUGCGUCGGCUGUGAAAUCCCGAGGCUCAACCUCGGGUCUGCAGUCGAUACGAGCAAACUAGAGUGUUGCAGGGAGACUGGAAUUCCUGGUGAUAGCGGUGAAAUGCGUAGAGAUCCGGAAGAACACCGGAGGCGAAGGCGGCUGCUGGGCUCGGUCUGACGCUGAGGCGCGAAAGCGUGGGAGCAAACAGG